UUCUAAUGAGGACAUAAGUGAGGGACACUGGAAAGACCAAAAGAGAAUGGAAAGUACUGACAUGGUAGUUGCAGGGUGCUAGUGAGCAGUCAUGCCCCCAAAUCAGCCACCUUACAUAGAACUCCCCAAGUUCAGGGCCACUGGAUGGGGUUGUGACGCAGUCAAGCAGGGCCCAGAAAGCAUACAAGCAGUUGGUUUCAUCUCCUGUAAGAAAGUGGCAUCAUCCCUGCUUUGUAAACGGAGAACCUGACACACACCAAGAGCACUCCUAGCCGUGGAAAAAAGCCGCUAGAACCCGAGGUUAGUCUGAUUUUUGGUUCCUCUGAAAAUUAGCUUUUGCUGGAUGCUAGAUUCAGUUCUGGACUUACUGAGUAGUCUCUGGGUUUUUGACAUUGUUAGGCACUGUGGGAAAAUUAUAACAGGUACGUCUGCGCUGAGUUGCUUGCUAAUUCCUAGGAGAGACUUGGACAUUUUGGACAAUUAAGAAGCAAUACAGGCCAGGCACGGUGGCUCACGUCUGUAAUCCCAGCACUUUGGGAGGCUGAGGCGGGUGGCUCAUCUGAGGUCAGGAGUUCGAGACCAGCCUGACCAGCAUGGUGAAACCCCAUCUCUACUAAAAAUACAAAAUUAGCCAGGCGUGGUGGCACAUGCCUGUAAUAAUCCCAGCUACUCGGGAGGCUGAGGCAGGAGAAUUGCUUGAACUGGGGAGGCAAAGGUUGCAGUGAUCCGAGAUCACGCCAUUGCACUCCAGCCUGGGCAACAAGAGUGAAAUUCUGUCUCAAAAAAACAAACAAACAAAAAGAAGCAAUACAGCUCUUUGAGAAAGAUGCAGUCAUAAGUGGUGCAGAGUUGCAGUCUGCCCAUUCCUGCUCCUCACUCAUCGCUGUUCCGAACAAGUCAGCCAGGAAGCCGCACUGCACCAAGGCUUUUAAAGAUACCAGAAAACACCUGUGAAGCUGGAGGUGACCAUUCACCAAAUUCGAAUCCCUCUAAUGAUCCGCAGCGUAAAAUCCCUGGAGAAGGUGUGUGCUGACUUGAUUCAGAGGAGGAAAGGAAAAGAAUGUCUAAGUGAAGGGACCAGUUUGAAUGCCUGCCAAGACUUUGAGAAUCACUAUAAGAAAAUCUCCUUGUGGUGAAGGUUCAGAGACAUGGGAUCGUUUCCAGAUGAGAAUCCACAAGCUACCCACUGACUUGCACAGUCCUUCUGAGAUUGUUAAGCAGUUGACUUCCAUCAGUGUUGAGCCAGGAAUUGAGGUGGAAGUCACCAUUGCAGAUGCUCAAAGUCAACUAUUUUAAUAAACUGAUUAGCGGUUGUUAU
rnacentral:lncRNA from 1 species